UACGUAGGGGGCUAGCGUUGUCCGGAUUUAUUGGGCGUAAAGAGCGUGUAGGCGGCCAGGUAGGUCUGCUGUGAAAACUCGAGGCUCAACCUCGAGAUGUCGGCGGAAACCAUCUGGCUAGAGUCCGGAAGAGGAGAGUGGAAUUCCUGGUGUAGCGGUGAAAUGCGCAGAUAUCAGGAAGAACACCUAUGGCGAAGGCAGCACUCUGGGACGGUACUGACGCUGAGACGCGAAAGCGUGGGGAGCGAACAGG
rnacentral:rRNA from 1 species